CUUAUUUGGUCAUUGGACCAGGCUUGGAUCAAAAGAGACUUGGCGUGGAUAUUGAUUAGGUUCACAUCUAAAUAGAACUUGGUUCCAAGUUGGACUCAACACAGAUCUAGACCAUGCUCGGAAUUAAACAGGGCCUGGAUCUGGAUUCGCCUGUGAGAUGGAAUAUCAGGAUCAGGCUUGGAAUUUAAUAGAAGACAUCAAGUUGACAAACUAUCCUUAGAUAAAAU
rnacentral:lncRNA from 1 species